UGGGGAAUAUUGCACAAUGGGCGCAAGCCUGAUGCAGCAACGCCGCGUGAGUGAAGAAGGCCUUCGGGUCGUAAAGCUCUGUCCUGUGGGACGAAACAAAUGACGGUACCACAGGAGGAAGCCCCGGCUAACUACGUGCCAGCAGCCGCGGUAAUACGUAGGGGGCAAGCGUUAUCCGGAAUCACUGGGCGUAAAGGGUGCGUAGGUGGUUCCUCAAGUCAGAAGUGAAAGGCAGUGGCUUAACCACUGUAAGCUUUUGAAACUGAGGAACUUGAGUGCAGGAGAGGUAAGUGGAAUUCCUAGUGUAGCGGUGAAAUGCGUAGAUAUUAGGAGGAACACCAGUGGCGAAGGCGACUUACUGGACUGUUACUGACACUGAGGCACGAAAGCGUGGGGAGCGAACA
rnacentral:rRNA from 1 species